rnacentral:tRNA from 1 species
GCCGGAAUAGCUCAGUUGGUAGAGCAAA